CUUGGUCAUUUAGAGGAAGUAAAAGUCGUAACAAGGUUUCCGUAGGUGAACCUGCGGAAGGAUCAUUCACAAACGAGUGUUUUAUGGCACUCUUUAAAAAUCCAUAUCCACCUUGUGUGCAAUGUUUGUUGGGAAAGUCUUUUCUUUCCCUUCAUAAAUAUCAACCUAUAUCUUUAACAACAUUCGUCUGAUAACAUAUUAUGAAUAUACUUAAUUCAAAAUAUAACUUUCAACAACGGAUCUCCUGGCUCUCGCAUCGAUGAAGAACGCAGCGAAAUGCGAUACGUAAUGUGAAUUGCAGAAUUCAGUGAAUCAUCGAAUCUUUGAACGCAUAUUGCGCUCUUUGGUAUUCCGAAGAGCAUGCUUGUUUGAGUAUCAGUAAACACCUCAAAGACUUCAAUUUGUUUUGAAUGGCUUUGGACUUGAGCAAUCCCAACACCAGUCUUUACGACCGGUGGAGGGUUGCUUGAAAUGCAGGUGCAGCUGGACAUUCUCCUGAGCUAAAAGCAUAUUUAUUUAGUCCCGUCAAACGGAUUAUUACUUUUGCUGCAGCUAACAUAAAGGGAGUUUGACCGUAUUGGCUGACUGAUGCAGGAUUUCACAAGGGUCGGCAACGAUUCUUGUAAAACUCGAUCUCAAAUCAAGUAAGACUACCCGCUGAACUUAAGCAUAUCAAUAAGCGGAGGA
rnacentral:rRNA from 1 species